GAGGAAGGACAUCACUCACAGAAGAAGCACCGGCUAACUCCGUGCCAGCAGCCGCGGUAAUACGGAGGGUGCGAGCGUUAAUCGGAAUUACUGGGCGUAAAGCGCGCGUAGGCGGCGUGAUAAGCCGGUUGUGAAAGCCCCGGGCUCAACCUGGGAACGGCAUCCGGAACUGUCAGGCUAGAGUGCAGGAGAGGAAGGUAGAAUUCCCGGUGUAGCGGUGAAAUGCGUAGAGAUCGGGAGGAAUACCAGUGGCGAAGGCGGCCUUCUGGACUGACACUGACGCUGAGGUGCGAAAGCGUGGGUAGCAAACAGGAUUAGAUACCCUGGUAGUCCACGCCGUAAACGAUGUCGACUAGCCGUUGGGGUCCUUGAGACCUUUGUGGCGCAGUUAACGCGAUAAGUCGACCGCCUGGGGAGUACGGCCGCAAGGUUAAAACUCAAAUGAAUUGACGGGGGCCCGCACAAGCGGUGGAGCAUGUGGUUUAAUUCGAUGCAACGCGAAGAACCUUACCUACCCUUGACAUCGUGCGAACUUGGUAGAGAUACCUUGGUGCCUUCGGGAACGCACAGACAGGUGCUGCAUGGCUGUCGUCAGCUCGUGUUGUGAAAUGUUGGGUUAAGUCCCGUAACGAGCGCAACCCUUGUCCCUAUUUGCCAGCGAUUCGGUCGGGAACUCUAGGGAGACUGCCGGUGACAAACCGGAGGAAGGUGGGGACGACGUCAAGUCAUCAUGGCCCUUACGGGUAGGGCUACACACGUGCUACAAUGGCCGGUACAAAGGGUUGCGAAGCCGCGAGGUGGAGCUAAUCCCGAAAAGCCGGUCUCAGUCCGGAUCGGAGUCUGCAACUCGACUCCGUGAAGUCGGAAUCGCUAGUAAUCGUGAAUCAGAAUGUCACGGUGAAUACGUUCCCGGGCCUUGUACACACCGCCCGUCACACCAUGGGAGUGGACUGCACCAGAAGUGGUUAGCCUAACUUCGGAGGGCGAUCACCACGGUGUGGUUCAUGACUGGGGUGAAGUCGUAACAAGGUAGCCGUAGGGGAACCUGCGGCUGGAUCACCUCCUUAAACGACCAGUC
rnacentral:rRNA from 1 species